AUAUCAAUAAGCGGAGGAAAAGAAACCAACAGGGAUUGCCCCAGUAACGGCGAGUGAAGCGGCAAGAGCUCAAAUUUGAAAGCUGGCUCCUUCGGGGUCCGCAUUGUAAUUUGUAGAGGAUGCUUCGGGAGCGGUCCCCAUCUAAGUGCCCUGGAACGGGACGUCAUAGAGGGUGAGAAUCCCGUAUGGGAUGGGGUGUCCGCGCCCGUGUGAAGCUCCUUCGACGAGUCGAGUUGUUUGGGAAUGCAGCUCUAAAUGGGUGGUAAAUUUCAUCUAAAGCUAAAUAUUGGCCGGAGACCGAUAGCGCACAAGUAGAGUGAUCGAAAGAUGAAAAGCACUUUGAAAAGAGAGUUAAAAAGCACGUGAAAUUGUUGAAAGGGAAGCGCUUGCGACCAGACUCGCUCGCGGGGUUCAGCCGGCAUUCGUGCCGGUGUACUUCCCCGCGGGCGGGCCAGCGUCGGUUUGGGCGGUCGGUCAAAGGCCCUCGGAAGGUAACGCCCCUAGGGGCGUCUUAUAGCCGAGGGUGCAAUGCGACCUGCCUAGACCGAGGAACGCGCUUCGGCUCGGACGCUGGCAUAAUGGUCGUAAACGAC
rnacentral:rRNA from 2 species